rnacentral:rRNA from 1 species
CAAUAGCGUAUAUUAAAGUUGUUGCAGUUAAAAAGCUCGUAGUUGGAUUUCUGGUGGGAGCGAUCGGUCUGGCGCUUAGCGCGAGUACUUGCAUCGUCUCCGGCCAUCCUUGGGGAGAGUCUGUCUGGCAUUAAGUUGUCGGGCAGAGGAUCCUCAUCGUUUACUGUGAAAAAAUUAGAGUGUUCAAAGCAGGCUUAUGCCGUUGAAUAUAUUAGCAUGGAAUAAUAAGAUAGGACUUUGGUACUAUUUUGUUGGUUUGCGCACCAAAGUAAUGAUUAAUAGGGACAGUUGGGGGUAUUCGUAUUCCGUUGUCAGAGGUGAAAUUCUUGGAUUUACGGAAGACGAACUACUGCGAAAGCAUUUAUCAAGGAUGUUUUCAUUAA